rnacentral:rRNA from 1 species
GACGAACGCUGGCUGCGUGCUUAACACAUGCAAGUCGAACGCUGAAGCCUGGUGCUUGCACCGGGUGGAUGAGUGGCGAACGGGUGAGUAACACGUGAGUAACCUGCCCCUGACUUCGGGAUAAGCCCGGGAAACUGGGUCUAAUACCGGAUACGACUGCCGGACGCAUGUCUGGUGGUGGAAAGUUUUUUCGGUUGGGGAUGGGCUCGCGGCCUAUCAGUUUGUUGGUGAGGUAAUGGCUCACCAAGACGACGACGGGUAGCCGGCCUGAGAGGGCGACCGGCCACACUGGGACUGAGACACGGCCCAGACUCCUACGGGAGGCAGCAGUGGGGAAUAUUGCACAAUGGGGGAAACCCUGAUGCAGCGACGCAGCGUGCGGGAUGACGGCCUUCGGGUUGUAAACCGCUUUCAGCAGGGAAGAAGCGCAAGUGACGGUACCUGCAGAAGAAGUACCGGCUAACUACGUGCCAGCAGCCGCGGUAAUACGUAGGGUACGAGCGUUGUCCGGAAUUAUUGGGCGUAAAGAGCUCGUAGGUGGUUGGUCACGUCUGCUGUGGAAACGCAACGCUUAACGUUGCGCGUGCAGUGGGUACGGGCUGACUAGAGUGCAGUAGGGGAGUCUGGAAUUCCUGGUGUAGCGGUGAAAUGCGCAGAUAUCAGGAGGAACACCGGUGGCGAAGGCGGGACUCUGGGCUGUAACUGACACUGAGGAGCGAAAGCAUGGGGAGCGAACAGGAUUAGAUACCCUGGUAGUCCAUGCCGUAAACGUUGGGCACUAGGUGUGGGGGGCAUUCCACGUUCUCCGCGCCGUAGCUAACGCAUUAAGUGCCCCGCCUGGGGAGUACGGUCGCAAGGCUAAAGCUCAAAGGAAUUGACGGGGGCCCGCACAAGCGGCGGAGCAUGCGGAUUAAUUCGAUGCAACGCGAAGAACCUUACCAAGGCUUGACAUACACCGGACCGUCCUGGAAACAGGUCUUCUUCUUUGAAGCUGGUGUACAGGUGGUGCAUGGUUGUCGUCAGCUCGUGUCGUGAGAUGUUGGGUUAAGUCCCGCAACGAGCGCAACCCUCGUUCUAUGUUGCCAGCACGUGAUGGUGGGAACUCAUAGGAGACUGCCGGGGUCAACUCGGAGGAAGGUGGGGAUGACGUCAAAUCAUCAUGCCCUUUAUGUCUUGGGCCUCACGCAUGCUACAAUGGCUGGUACAGAGAGAGGCGAACCCGUGAGGGCAAGCGAAUCCCUUAAAGCCAGUCUCAGUUCGGAUCGUAGUCUGCAAUUCGACUACGUGAAGUCGGAGUCGCUAGUAAUCGCAGAUCAGCAACGCUGCGGUGAAUACGUUCCCGGGCCU